GGCGGCACAGAGGGAAGCCAGGUGGCGACACCGCGCGAACCGAAAGCCGUUCUCAGUUCGGAUCGGAGUCUGCAACCCGACUCCGUGAAGCUGGAUUCGCUAGUAAUCGCGCAUCAGCCAUGGCGCGGUGAAUACGUUCCCGGGCCUUGUACACACCGCCCGUCAAGCCAUGGGAGCCGGGGGUGCUUGAAGUGCGUCGCCGCAAGGCGCGCCCUAGAGCAAAACCGGUGACUGGGGCUAAGUCGUAACAAGGUACC
rnacentral:rRNA from 1 species